CCUACGGGUGGCAGCAGUGGGGAAUAUUGGACAAUGGGCGCAAGCCUGAUCCAGCCAUGCCGCGUGGGUGAAGAAGGCCUUCGGGUUGUAAAGCCCUUUUGUCCGGAAAGAAAACGUGUCGGUUAAUACCCGGCGCGGAUGACGGUACCGGAAGAAUAAGCACCGGCUAACUUCGUGCCAGCAGCCGCGGUAAUACGAAGGGUGCAAGCGUUACUCGGAAUUACUGGGCGUAAAGCGUGCGUAGGCGGUUCGUUAAGUCCGAUGUGAAAGCCCUGGGCUCAACCUGGGAAUGGCAUGGGAUACUGGCGGGCUAGAGUGCGGUAGAGGAUGGUGGAAUUCCCGGUGUAGCGGUGAAAUGCGUAGAGAUCGGGAGGAACAUCUGUGGCGAAGGCGGCCAUCUGGACCAGCACUGACGCUGAGGCACGAAAGCGUGGGGAGCA
rnacentral:rRNA from 1 species